rnacentral:lncRNA from 1 species
GGGGCGAAGUCUGACUCCCGUAGGAGUCCGGAUGAAGUCUACCUGCAAUUGAAGUUGGGGGCGAAGUCCGGCUCCCGUAGGAGUCCGGACGAAGUCUACCUGUAAUUGAAGUUGUGGGCGGAGUCCAGCUCCCGUAGGGGUCCGGACGAAGUCUGCCUGCAGUCGAAGUUGGGGACGAGGUCUGGCUCCCGUAGGAGUCCGGACGAGGCCUUCCUACAGCUGGAGUUGGGGGCGAAUGUUGAAAAAUGUGUCCCGAAAAGCCAAUCGUCAAGCUGUUGACGGUUGAGCAACCAAGUAUUGUAAUUGAUUUGUUAAUAAAUAAAAUAUAUUUGGCAUCUUCAUCAUAAGCUUUCAUCUUCUAAUGAACUCCGUUGUUAUGAUGAAGUCCUUAGGACUAUUUAGGUUCGAUAAAGAGAGGAUUUAUCGAUUAGUCCUUAAAACUGUUCACGACCAAAUGAUAGGCUGUUAAUAAGGACGACAGCUUCUAUCGAGCAUAGGUCGCUGUAGGCCAUAUGGGUUGGUUGUCCUCUUAACCAAAGAGUGUGGAGACACUAGUAUGGCAUA